CCUUUACCGAAAGCCAUUUCUUUUAAAAUACCCUGCAUUUAGUCUUCAAGAAUCUUCAAGCAAGUGUCUGAAGAAGCGGGUUUAUCCUGCCCUGUGGCUGCUUUCAUCUGUUGCUUCUGCUUGAGUUUUUCUGACUUAUCAUUCGAUUGUUUGGGCUUUCCUGUACUUGUGGAACACACCAGCAUUUUCUUAGUUGGGCUUUGGACUGUGAGGAUGCAUGCAAAAAAGCUGAGAUAAUCAUGGCUUUCCUUGCUUUGGCAGUUCAACGCUGGAGCCUCAAUUUCCAGAAGACUUUUUCAUUUUAUGUGAGAAGCAGAAUCUAGAGAUGGC
rnacentral:lncRNA from 1 species